CGUUGUCGGGCAGACUGCUAAGUGCCACAAAUCCUCCUUCCAAUGUCCCAUUCGACCUAAUACUCAGUUGUGUCCUGAUACCAUCGACAGACGUGUCGCGGCGACAAAUAGAUUCGAGAAAGUAAACAAUUAUGUUUCGGAUAUGGCCGCGAUUGCUCUGAUUUACGUAAUCUUGCUCGCAAAUUGUGUUUCCCCACAAAUAAGCAGAGCCACGGUAAAAUCAGGUGACAUAAAUAAGUUAUCUUCAGAUUCUACAGAAAUCAUUUUUCCCUUGCAAAAACAAGAAGCCUGGACGACGGCGGAAACUACGCCUGCUGACUUUGCCGGAAAUAAUCUAAACGUUGACGGCAAUGCGCCUCGUGGCUUCACCGAGCUAUUGAUAGAUAAUCAAUUUCACGGGCCAAGAAAAUCGACUGCAAAUUCAAAUGCUGAAGAUGAAAAGCAAAACAAGAAAAUAUUCGAUAAAAAUAUGGCUAAUAAUAAAAGUGAUUUAAGUCUGAAACAGACAAUAGAUAAUAUCCAAACUUCUGAACCAUUACGUUUAGUGUGGGAUAGUUGCUUAGAAACAAUUAUUAAGGACAAUCCAAUAAAUAUAAAUAAACCACCUGUUGAUAUAGACAACAAUAAUAAUGACUAUCAAAUUGAGCAAAGUAAUAUUGAAGAAGGCAAUAUAUGGAACAAGCGAGAUGCUAAUGCUGGUACUCGUAACAAUUCUGUUGCAAUAAAAGCUUGGUUAGACAAAUACAAUAGUUUAAAAAACGGUAAAAUGGAAGAACGAAAACAGCAAAAAACAGAAUCAAUUUUUAUAAAGAAAGUAACUCAACCAGUUUCCAGUUCAUCGACUACAACAGAUUUCAUUUCUACAAUUCAAGUUGUGCCGAUAACAAAAGAAAUUUUUAAUAAACCUCUGGACAGUUUUGAUGUAACACAAAAGCCAGUUGUUACAGAAAAUAAUAUAGCUGUGGGUUACAAUGAGGAUUGGUUUGAAGUCAAGGACAAGAGUAAAAUUAGAUUUAGCGGUCUGCCUCAAAAAGAAUCUUACUUGAUCCCAGCACUUAAACUGGAUGAAGGAUUUCACCCCUUUACUUUCAUGUCUGAGUUUUUUACUCUGAUUUAUCCGUUUGAUUUUCCAGUGGGUCUUAUCAAGGAUAUUGUAUGGGGUAAAUUUACAUUCCCUUACUCAUUCUUACAGUCAAUAAGGAUAGAAUCAACAUUUCUCGGUUUCAUCAUAGCAUUUGCCAGCAUAGCUCUGGUGAUACCAUCGUACCUCCUCAUCCUAGGAAUUCUGUCCUUAUUUUCCACAUCCAGCUGCGAUGAGGACACCGAAACUGGUGCCUUAUUUCCUGAUGAAAAAGGCUCAGAUUGCAAUGACAGAGCGCUAGUUGUUGUGACGCUGUUCAUCUUAUUAUUGUGCUGUGUAUUUCUGUCUGGCAUGGCGAUGAGCAACGAGCAAGCCCGACUAGCGGCCGACGAGAGCCGAAGCGUGGUGAGCUGCGCGUGCGCCGACAUCGCGUCGUGGCUCGCCGCCGCUGCCAGGGAUCUCCACCACAGCCUCAUACCACCUGUAGACCUUGUAAUGCAUGCUUUUAGGGAAGACUUGCAUAAUAUAGAAUCUCUGCUUGGAGAGCCUAUUCAGCAAGCAAUAGCAUCGGAAAGUGGAAUAGAUUUAGUAUUUGAUUCACUAGUGGAUAUUGUUCAAGAAAGUGAAGAACUAUCGUCAAAGAUAGCAUCACUUCGUGACGUCAGCAUGCGGGCAGGAGCCAUGGCGGCGGCUGCUGGAGACAAGAUCAAUGACCUGGCGAGGCAACUGGAGAAUUUGAAGAAGUAUUGUGUGGCGAAAGACGCGCCGCUAUGCGAUACCAUCAACACUAACUCUUUGACGUUACAGCUCAAAUUUGAAUUGAUACUGCACGAACAACAACUACUGCAACUUAGGUCCUUAGGGGUUGAAAACUUAACACAAGCAAUUUCCACUGCGAAGAAAGAAUUCAAAAUGUUGCCCUCAGCUAUAGCUUCACAAACAGUGCAAACUAGAAGUGAUGUUUUACAAGACGUAGAAGCGCGAAGGCUAGCAGUGCACAGUUCGGCUAAAAUCCUCAGUGACAUAGUGCGCCACCUUACUUCAGGAUUACACUCCGUAGCUCAUAGGUUCGAUACUACGCUUGGUCGACUGCAGAAAUAUGAAUUUUGGAGAUGGGUUGUUAUGUCAGCAUGUCUCAUUAUGUUUGCUAUUAUAAUGCUUUUGAUGCUACUUGGGAUGUUGUGUGGCUGUGGGCGAGCUAAGGAUCAUGGAAAAAGAACUUUACAACUAUCCACUGUUUGGUUAUGUUUCGCAUCCCUCGUCUUAUGGACGUUGAUAUCAACAAUUUUCUUAAUUACGGGCCACGCUGAGGUAUACAUUUGCCAUGCUCUGUGGGAUUUCCCUCAAUAUGAAACUCUGUCAGCUCUUCUGGAUAAGCCUUCACCUCUAUUGGAAAAUAAAGAAGGAAUCUUUGAUACACUAUUCAGGGAUCUAAACAAUGUCACUAUUGAUGUGUCUGUUAGUGAUGUUUUAAGAGAUUGUGAACAAGAUCGGCCAGCGUACGUAGUGUUUCAGCUGGAGAGAAUACUAGACGUGAACAAGGAAACUUCUUACUUCGAGUGGGGGGAGCUCCAAAGAGACCUGGGUCGUUUGGCAUCGGCCAUCGACGUCAGCUUGUUGAAGACCAUCUCGGAUGGCUUCAGCCGACUACUGAACCAGAUGUUAGCUGUGUCUACUGUCAAUUUGGCGAAGUAUAGGAUGGAAUAUAAUGUACCACUGGUUGGCAAAGAUCUUCCUUCAUUAGUGGACCAACUUGAGAAUAUUGCAGCGCAAACAUCCGAUCUUACAACUGCUGGCAGAUUGGAAACACUAGCUACUCGAACACAGAGACUAUAUUUAUCCAACAUAAAACCUUUGGAGCAGCUUCGUAACGACGUGGUCUUCAAACUGACCGAGUUGGAGCUACAGCUGAUGCCGUUCAGGAGAAAACUAAACAUUUCCUUGAGCCACAUCCACACAGCUCAAUAUUAUAUUGACAACCAGGGCGAUGUAAUAGCUCAGAAGAAAAUGUCAGUAUACGUGUCCCGCCUUCUCUCGCACGCAGCGAGCUGGCGCACACACGUGCUUGUGGCCGCCGGGACCCACGCGGCGCGUUGCAAACCUCUCUUCUCUGUGUACUCUGCUGCCAGGACGCUGCUGUGCUCCAAAUACAUCGCCUCUCUUCAUGGCUGGUGGGUUUGUGGGUUCCUCCUAGGAGUACUGUGGUGUACCGCCCUCGCUCCUCUCUGCGUCAAACUUUGGAGGAGCUACAAUCGCAAACAGAGGGCGCUUGAGGCUAUGACCCUCACCAACUUGGGAUCAGGGCAACAAGAAACUCCGACUACGGCGCUCUGCGACGGCAGCAACUGGAACACACCUGGGCCUCCGCCGCCUCGCAGUGAUAGUUGGUGACCAAUGGUGAUUUAACAAUGUUAUUAGCACAAAGGACAUUUUCUCACGAUAACUGUGCUAAUCGCGAACAUGAUCAUUUGUGUGAUACAUUUUAGACAAUAGCAAGCUGACCGCACGCUGACCAUAAGUUUCAAAUUAUCACACAGCACCGCGUCGUAUAACCUUGUCGCAUUUGUAGCUGAGCUAGGACACCCGGUUAGAUGCAAUUUAUGCAACCACCAGGAUGUGUUUCGCAAUUCAAGUAAUAUAUGCGAAUGUUCCUUUUGUUGAAAUAUCCAAUUUGUUAUAAACU